rnacentral:rRNA from 1 species
UACGAAGGGGGCUAGCGUUGUUCGGAAUUACUGGGCGUAAAGCGCGCGCAGGCGGUUCUCCAAGUCAGUGGUGAAAGCCCGGAGCUCAACUCCGGAACUGCCAUUGAAACUGUUGAACUUGAGGACGAGAGAGGUGAGUGGAAUUCCCAGUGUAGAGGUGAAAUUCGUAGAUAUUGGGAAGAACACCGGUGGCGAAGGCGGCUCACUGGCUCGUAUCUGACGCUCAGGCGCGAUAGCGUGGGGGAUCAAACAGG